UACGUAGGGGGCAAGCGUUGUCCGGAAUCAUUGGGCGUAAAGCGCGUGUAGGCGGCCCCGAUAAGUUCCGCCGUGAAAGCCCAGGGCUCAACCCUGGGAUGCCGGUGGAAACUGUCGGGCUAGAGUCCGGAAGAGGCGAGUGGAAUUCCUGGUGUAGCGGUGAAAUGCGCAGAUAUCAGGAGGAACACCAAUGGCGAAGGCAGCUCGCUGGGACGGUACUGACGCUGGAGGCGCGAAAGCGUGGGGAGCGAACAGG
rnacentral:rRNA from 1 species